UGAACGCUGGCGGCGUGCUUAACACAUGCAAGUCGAACGAACCUUCGGGUUAGUGGCGGACGGGUGAGUAACGCGUGAGAAUCUGCCCUCAGGAGGGGGAUAACGGCUGGAAACGGCCGCUAAUACCCCAUAUGCCGCGAGGUGAAAUGAAUUUCGCCUGAGGAUGAGCUCGCGUCUGAUUAGCUAGUUGGUGGGGUAAAGGCCUACCAAGGCAUCGAUCAGUAGCUGGUCUGAGAGGAUGAUCAGCCACACUGGGACUGAGACACGGCCCAGACUCCUACGGGAGGCAGCAGUGGGGAAUUUUCCGCAAUGGGCGAAAGCCUGACGGAGCAACGCCGCGUGAGGGAUGAAGGCCUCUGGGCUGUAAACCUCUUUUAUCAAGGAAGAAGAUCUGACGGUACUUGAUGAAUAAGCCACGGCUAAUUCCGCGCCAGCAGCCGCGGUAAUCUUGAUGGCGCGAGG
rnacentral:rRNA from 1 species